rnacentral:rRNA from 1 species
GAUGAACGCUGGCGGCGUGCCUAAUACAUGCAAGUCGAGCGAACGGACGUGAAGCUUGCUUCUCUGAUGUUAGCGGCGGACGGGUGAGUAACACGUGGAUAACCUACCUAUAAGACUGGGAUAACUUCGGGAAACCGGAGCUAAUACCGGAUGAUAUUUUGAACCGCAUGGUUCAAAAGUGAAAGACGGUCUUGCUGUCACUUAUAGAUGGAUCCGCGCUGCAUUAGCUAGUUGGUAAGGUAACGGCUUACCAAGGCAACGAUGCAUAGCCGACCUGAGAGGGUGAUCGGCCACACUGGAAUUGAGACACGGUCCAGACUCCUACGGGAGGCAGCAGUAGGGAAUCUUCCGCAAUGGGCGAAAGCCUGACGGAGCAACGCCGCGUGAGUGAUGAAGGUCUUCGGAUCGUAAAACUCUGUUAUUAGGGAAGAACAUAUGUGUAAGUAACUGUGCACAUCUUGACGGUACCUAAUCAGAAAGCCACGGCUAACUACGUG